rnacentral:tRNA from 1 species
GGAAAGGUGGCCGAGUGGUCGAAGGCGCUCCCCUGCUAAGGGAGUACACCGAAAGGUGUCGAGAGUUCGAAUCUCUUCCUUUCCGCCA